GAUGAACGCUAGCUACAGGCUUAACACAUGCAAGUCGAGGGGAAACGACAUCGAAAGCUUGCUUUUGAUGGGCGUCGACCGGCGCACGGGUGAGUAACGCGUAUCCAACCUGCCCACCACUUGGGGAUAACCUCUAGAAAGUAAGACUAAUACCCAAUGACGUCUCUAGAAGACAACUGAAGGAGAUUAAAGAUUUAACGGCUAUGGAUGGGGAUGCGUCUGAUUAGCUUGUUGGCGGGGUAACGGCCCACCAAGGCGACGAUCAGUAGGGGUUCUGAGAGGAAGGUCCCCCACAUUGGAACUGAGACACGGUCCAAACUCCUACGGGAGGCAGCAGUGAGGAAUAUUGGUCAAUGGGCGAGAGCCUGAACCAGCCAAGUAGCGUGCAGGAUGACGGCCCUAUGGGUUGUAAACUGCUUUUAUAAGGGAAUAAAGUGAGUCUCGUGAGACUUUUUGCAUGUACCUUAUGAAUAAGGACCGGCUAAUUCCGUGCCAGCAGCCGCCGUAA
rnacentral:rRNA from 1 species